GACAGAGGGUGCAAACGUUGUUCGGAAUUACUGGGCGUAAAGCGUGUGUAGGCGGUCUCAUAAGUCGGGUGUGAAAGCCCUGGGCUCAACCCAGGAAGUGCACUCGAAACUGCGAGGCUAGAGUACUGGAGAGGUUGGUGGAAUUCUCGGUGUAGAGGUGAAAUUCGUAGAUAUCGAGAGGAACACCGGUGGCGAAGGCGGCCAACUGGACAGAUACUGACGCUGAGACACGAAAGCGUGGGGAGCAAACAGG
rnacentral:rRNA from 1 species